UACGUAGGUGACCAGCGUUGUCCGGAUUUACUGGGCGUAAAGAGCGCGCAGGCGGUCGUUCAAGUCGAGUGUGAAAGCCCCCGGCUCAACUGGGGAGGGUCACUCGAUACUGAUCGACUUGAAGGCAGGAGAGGGAAGCGGAAUUCCAGGUGUAGCGGUGAAAUGCGUAGAUAUCUGGAGGAACACCGGUGGCGAAGGCGGCAUCCUGGACCAUGACUGACGCUGAGGAGCGAAAGCCAGGGGAGCAAACGGG
rnacentral:rRNA from 1 species